UUUUUUUUCUUGGUAAACUUCAAAUACCACUCCUGUGGUUUCAUACUUUCGCACUUUAGUAUCCUAUGAUUUAAAGUGUUUUAAUAUAUUUAGCAUUCUGUGGUUUCAUUUUUUUCUUUUCGUCAGUUCCUCAGUUAACAUUUCGAGGUAUUAAAGUGUUUUAAUAUAUUUAGCAUUCUGUGGUUUCAUUUUUUUCUUUUCGUCAGUUCCUCAGUUAACAUUUCGUUAAAUUAUAUAUAAAAAACAUCAGAUACCGCACUUAAGUUUAUUGAAUAUUCACUUUAAUACCUUUUAGUUUUAACUAUGUUACUGAUUUAAUGAAAAAAAAAAUCUGACAAAAAGAGAAAAAUAAAAUUACAAGGUACAAAAUUGAUACACUUUAAAACACAUGGUACUAAAGUGGAAAGUGUGAAACCACAAGGAGCAUAUUUGAAGUGUACCCUUUUUUUAAAAAUCAUUGUUUGUUGGAUAGAAAGUCAAUUUUGAGUUGUAGU
rnacentral:lncRNA from 1 species